rnacentral:rRNA from 1 species
GCCGCGUGUGUGAUGAAGGCCCUCUGGGUCGUAAAGCACUGUCGGGAGGAAAGAAGAUCUGACGGUACCUCCCAAGAAAGCACCGGCUAACUCCGUGCCAGCAGCCGCGGUAAUACGGAGGGUGCAAGCGUUGCUCGGAAUCACUGGGCGUAAAGCGUACGCAGUCGGCUUGUUAAGUCGGGUGUGAAAGCCCGGGGCUCGAACCCCGGAAUCUGCAUUCGAGACUGGCAGGCUUGAAUACGGGAGAGGGAGGCGGAAUUCCUGGUGUAGAGGUGAAAUUCGUAUGAUAUCAUGGAGGAACACCCGUUGGCGAAAGCGGCUUCCUGGCCCGAUAUUGACGCUCAGGUACGAAAGCGUGGGGAGUCAAUACAUGGAUUAGAUAUCCCUGGUAGUCCACGCCUGUAAACGAUGAGUGCUAGCUGCUGGGGAUGUUUACCGCACUCAGUGGCGAAGCUAACGCAUUAAGCACUCCGCCUGGGAAGUACGGCCGCCAAGGCUAAAACUCAAAGGAAUUG